rnacentral:tRNA from 1 species
GCCGUGCUCUCGAACCUUCGUGAACGUCUCUGCCCUGCCUCCGGAGCAGACGACCGCAGGUUCGAAUCCUGCCCGGGGGCACCA